ACCUAAUUUACUAUUCGUUGUAGAUUUGUGAGAACAGAUGCAGCAAUAAUUCGUCCGUCUAUGGUUUGCAGCAAAUUUAUUUUACAUUAGACACACACGCAUUGUUUAAAAUGCCACAAACCUAGAAAUAUCAUGCUUCUACAAGAGCCGCUAUUGGAGGACCCUGCCGACAAAAAUAUUUCUUCAGAAGUAACAUGCCAUUUCAUUUAGUUAUUCAGAACUAAUGAACCAUCAUCAGCAGCUGAAAAAGACAACUAAUUUUUUGAUCUUUUUGAUCAAUUGGGAGCCUGCCAAAUUUUCAGAAAUUUUGCAUUGAUUUAUUGUCAGCCCUGUAGAAACUUUAUCUGAACGCCUGAAUUUUGCAAAAACACGGAAGGCGAGAAAAAUGAUUGGGCUAGACAUUACUUCAAACAGACAUUCAUUUGCUCGCACAGAUCAGAACGUAUACUGCCAAAGUAGGAAAAAUUAGCCCGUUUAACGCUUAUUUUGUUCCACAAUUUAUAAAUGAAUUAGCUUGAGGUGCAAUAAUCAAGCAUUAAAUAUAAAAAAAAUAAAUAACGUAGGACUUGUACUUACCGCUCAGCAUUAACAACAGCUUAGUUCUGGAUGACAUGUUAUAUAAAUGCACUAGUACAACACGGGUGUCUUUCACGAGUUUUUAAUAAGAUAUAAAAAAUAUUCUUUCUUUCAAUUUCAACAGUUUCUGUCUUUCCCAUCUAUUGACGGGAUCCCGAAAAAUCAGUCAUUAUAGCAUUUGGGAUGUUG